CCUACGGGAGGCAGCAGUGGGGAAUAUUGCACAAUGGGGGAAACCCUGAUGCAGCGAAGCCGCGUGAGUGAAGAAGUAUGUCGGGAUGUAAAGCUCUAUCAGCAGGGAAGAAAAUGACGGUACCUGAUUAAGAAGCCACGGCUAACUACGUGCCAGAAGCCGCGGUACUACGUAGGGGGCAGGCGUUAUCCGGAUUUACUGGGUGUAAAGGGAGCUUAGACGGCAGCACAAGUCUGGAGGGAAAUGCCGGGGCUUAACCCCGGAACUGCCUUGGAAACUGUGCAGCUAGAGUGCAGGAGAGGUAAGUGGAAUUCCUGGUGUAGCGGUGAAAUGCGUAGAUAUUAGGAGGAACACCAGUGGCGAAGGCGGCUUACUGGACUGUAACUGACGUUGAGGCUCGAAAGCGUGGGGAGCAAACAGGAUUAGAUACCCCUGUAGUC
rnacentral:rRNA from 1 species